rnacentral:misc_RNA from 1 species
GAUGAAGAACGUAGCAAAAUGCGAUACUUGGUGUGAAUUGCAGAAUCCCGUGAACCAUCGAGUUUUUGAACGCAAGUUGCGCCCGAAGCCUUUUGGCCGAGGGCACGUCUGCCUGGGCGUCACGCAUCGCGUCGCCCCCCACAAUUCUCCGUAAAGGGAACGUGUGUUUUGGGGGCGGAUAUUGGUCUCCCGUGCUCAUGGCGUGGUUGGCCGAAAUAGGAGUCCUUUCGAUGGACGCACGAACUAGUGGUGGUCGUAAAAACCCUCGUCUUUUGUUUCGUGCUGUUGCUCGCAAGGUAAACUCUUUAAAAACCCCAAUGUGUCGUCUCUUGACGACGCUUCGACCGCGACCCCAGGUCAGGCGGGACUACCCGCUGAGUUUAAGCACAUCAAUAAGCGGAGGA